UACGAAGGGGGCUAGCGUUGCUCGGAUUGACUGGGCGUAAAGGGCGCGUAGGCGGUUUGCAGAGUCAGACGUGAAAUUCCUGGGCUUAACCUGGGGGCUGCGUUUGAUACAUGCAGGCUUGAGUUCGGAAGAGGGUCGUGGAAUUCCCAGUGUAGCGGUGAAAUGCGUAGAUAUCGGGAGGAACACCUGUGGCGAAAGCGGCUCACUGGACCAUUACUGACGCUGAGGCGCGAAAGCUAGGGGAGCAAACAGG
rnacentral:rRNA from 1 species